AGUCAGCCUCAGGUUCCAGUGAGACCAGUGAUGAUGCAACAAUUGCAGGGGGAGUAGGUGGGGGGCAGCCACCUCAUCCCCCACAUCCUCUCAUUUUACUUGUGUUGAAUUUGAUCUAUUUCUACACCAGAUUCUUUGUGUAAAUGUAUAUAUUCAACUUUGUCCAUUUCAAAAAAAGAGGUUCAUCUUAGCCCAUUGGCUCCACUAUAUCCUUUGUAUAAUUCUUCUCACAUAGCCUAUUUAUGAGAAACAGUAUAUUACACUCACUUCCUUUCUGUACAUAUAUUCCUUUUAUCCUUGCUUCUUUUCCAUCUUCUUCAAACUCUCAAAGCAAAAUCCCCUUUCAGGAUCUUUAUUUAUUGAACUUCAGUACUAUUUGAAGACAUUAAGCUUAUGAAGACUAGAUUUUUCUCUCCCAAUUAGAAUAUAGCUUAUUCAAAUUGCUCAAGUACACUCACCUUUCUUAAUUUCUUUGGACUUCUGUUUCUAUUAUCAAAAGUUUCUACUCAGCUCUGGUCUUAUCAGACAUGUUUCAAAGUAUUCUAUUUAAAAUCCACUUUUCCCCUAUAGGAUUAAAUCAGACUUCUCAAGAUGGCAUCAUCACUCAAGAGUAUUUCCAAAUUGUAGGUUGGAAUGGGUAAAAUGGAUUCCUCCCCAUCUCAUACUCUAAGGAACACAGCUAGAAAGAUCAGUGCAUUCCAAAGGAGCAUCCUCGCUGAACUGGAAGUCCUCCUGGGGAGAUUGUAAGAGAGCAUCUGGAUAUGAUGAGUUCAAGUCACCAAAUCCAGAUAAAGGGCAUCCACUAAAAGGACUGGUGGAUAUAAGCACUGAGGCACUAUCAGUGCUGUCUGAAAGACUCUGCCAUUAUCAAAGCCUGUUUCAUUCUAAAUAAAAUCUUUACAUCUUAAAAUUUAUCUCAAAUCAAACCAGCAAGCAUUUAUAUACCAGACACUAUGAUGUGCUUAAAAAUACAAAGACAGACAAAAAUUAAAAUACAACAGCCUUGCCCUCUAUGAGUUUACAUUCUAAUCAGGGAGAUAAUAAUUAGGGAGAU